AACGAACGCUGGCGGCAUGCUUAACACAUGCAAGUCGAACGGAAAGGCCCUGCUUUUGUGGGGUGCUCGAGUGGCGAACGGGUGAGUAACACGUGAGUACCCUGCCCUUGACUUUGGGAUAACUUCAGGAAACUGGGGCUAAUACCGGAUAGGAGCUCCUGCUGCAUGGUGGGGGUUGGAAAGUUUCGGCGGUUGGGGAUGGACUCGCGGCUUAUCAGCUUGUUGGUGGGGUAGUGGCUUACCAAGGCUUUGACGGGUAGCCGGCCUGGUCGGGUGACCGGCCCCACCGGGCCUGGGCUGCGGCCCGGCCCCGUAUGGGAGGCAGAAGUGCGGAAUAUUGCACUAUGGGCGGAGCCCUGAUCCAGCAACGCCGCGUGCGGUAUGACGGCCAGCCGGUUGUAUUCUGAUGUCGCCUGGGACGAAGCGUGAGUGACGGUAAUGGGUAAAGAAGCACCGGCUAACUACGUG
rnacentral:rRNA from 1 species